GACAGAGGGUGCAAACGUUGUUCGGAAUUACUGGGCGUAAAGCGUGUGUAGGCUGCUCCGAUAGUCGGAUGUGAAAGCCCUGGGCUCAACCUAGGAAGUGCAUUCGAUACUCCGGAGCUUGAGUCCUGGAGAGGAAGGCGGAAUUCUCGGUGUAGAGGUGAAAUUCGUAGAUAUCGAGAGGAACACCGGUGGCGAAGGCGGCGACCUGGGACAAUACUGACGCUGAGGUGCGAAAGCGUGGGGAGCAAACAGG
rnacentral:rRNA from 1 species